AGUCGAACGCAGUAGCAAUACUGAGUGGCAGACGGGUGAGUAUAAUGUGGGAAUCUGCCUUUUGGUUCGGAAUAACUCGGGGAAACUUGAGCUAAUACCGGAUAAGCCCUUACGGGGAAAGAUUUAUCGCCAAAAGAUGAGCCCGCACUUGAUUAGCUAGUUGGUGAGGUAAUUGCUCACCAAGGCAACAAUCAAUAGCUGUUCUUAGAGGAAGACCAGCCACAUUGGGACUGAGACACGGCCCAGACUCCUACGGGAGGCAGCAGUGGGGAAUCUUGCACAAUGGGGGAAACCCUGAUGCAGCGAUGCCGCGUGAGUGAAGAAGGCCGUUGGGUUGUAAAACUCUUUCGUCGGGGAAGAAAAUGACUGUACCCGAAUAAGAAGGUCCGGCUAACUUCGUGCCAGCAGCCGCGGUAAUACGAAGGGACCUAGUGUAGUUCGGAAUUACUGGGCUUAAAGAGCUCGUAGGUGGUUAAAAAAGUUGAUGGUGAAAUCCCAAGGCUUAACCUUGGAAACUGCCAUCAAAACUUUUUAGCUUGAGUGUGAUAGAGGGAAAAG
rnacentral:rRNA from 1 species